GAAUUCGCCCUUAGAGUUUGAUCCUGGCUCAGGACGAACGCUGGCGGCAUGCCUAACACAUGCAAGUCGAACGGAGCUGUUUUGAAAGAUCUUUUCGGAGUGAUUUUGAUUCAGCUUAGUGGCGAACGGGUGAGUAACGCGUGAGCAACCUGCCUCGGAGUGGGGGACAACAGUUGGAAACGACUGCUAAUACCGCAUAAUAUUCCCGAAGGGCAUCUUUUGGGAAUCAAAGCUUUAUGUGCUCUGAGAUGGGCUCGCGUCUGAUUAGCUAGAUGGCGGGGUAACGGCCCACCAUGGCGACGAUCAGUAGCCGGACUGAGAGGUUGAUCGGCCACAUUGGGACUGAGAUACGGCCCAGACUCCUACGGGAGGCAGCAGUGGGGAAUAUUGGGCAAUGGGGGAAACCCUGACCCAGCAACGCCGCGUGAGGGAAGAAGGCCUUCGGGUUGUAAACCUCUUUUACCAGGGAAGAAGAAAGUGACGGUACCUGGAGAAAAAGCCACGGCUAACUACGUGCCAGCAGCCGCGGUAAUACGUAGGUGGCAAGCGUUGUCCGGAUUUACUGGGUGUAAAGGGCGUGUAGGCGGGAAGACAGGUCAGAUGUGAAAUGUCGGGGCUCAACCCCGGAACUGCAUUUGAAACCGUUUUUCUUGAGUAUCGGAGAGGCAGGCGGAAUUCCUAGUGUAGCGGUGAAAUGCGUAGAUAUUAGGAGGAACACCAGUGGCGAAGGCGGCCUGCUGGACGACAACUGACGCUAAAGCUCGAAAGUGCGGGUAUCGAACAGGAUUAGAUACCCUGGUAGUCCGCACGGUAAACGAUGGAUGCCCGCUGUCUGCGAUACACUGUAGGCGGCCAAGAGAAAUCGUUAAGCAUCCCACCUGGGGAGUACGCCGGCAACGGUGAAACUCAAAGGAAUUGACGGGGGCCCGCACAAGCGGAGGAACAUGUGGUUUAAUUCGAUGAUACGCGAGGAACCUUACCCGGGCUUGAACUGCAGGCGUACGAUACAGAGAUGUUGAGGCCCUUCGGGGCGCCUGUGGAGGUGCUGCAUGGUUGUCGUCAGCUCGUGCCGUGAGGUGUCGGCUUAAGUGCCAUAACGAGCGCAACCCCUUUCUCCAGUUGCCAUCAGGUUAUGCUGGGCACUCUGGAGACACUGCCACCGUAAGGUGUGAGGAAGGUGGGGAUGACGUCAAAUCAGCACGGCCCUUACGUCCGGGGCUACACACGUGUUACAAUGGGUGGUACAGAGAGUCGGUGCAUCGCAAGUUGCAUCUAAUCAUGAAAGCCAUCCUCAGUUCGGAUUGGGGUCUGCAACCCGACCCCAUGAAGCUGGAUUCGCUAGUAAUCGCAUAUCAGCACGAUGCGGUGAAUACGAUCCCGGGCCUUGCACUCACCGCCCGUCA
rnacentral:rRNA from 1 species